rnacentral:rRNA from 1 species
GAUGAACGCUGGCGGCGUGCCUAAUACAUGCAAGUCGAGCGAACGGACGAGAAGCUUGCUUCUCUGAUGUUAGCGGCGGACGGGUGAGUAACACGUGGAUAACCUACCUAUAAGACUGGGAUAACUUCGGGAAACCGGAGCUAAUACCGGAUAAUAUUUUGAACCGCAUGGUUCAAAAGUGAAAGACGGUCUUGCUGUCACUUAUAGAUGGAUCCGCGCUGCAUUAGCUAGUUGGUAAGGUAACGGCUUACCAAGGCAACGAUGCAUAGCCGACCUGAGGGGGUGAUGGGCCACACUGGAACUGAGACACGGUCCAGACUCCUACGGGAGGCAGCAGUAGGGAAUCUUCCGCAAUGGGCGAAAGCCUGACGGAGCAACGCCGCGUGAGUGAUGAAGGUCUUCGGAUCGUAAAACUCUGUUAUUAGGGAAGAACAUAUGUGUAAGUAACUGUGCACAUCUUGACGGUACCUAAUCAGAAAGCCACGGCUAACUACGUG